rnacentral:lncRNA from 1 species
ACAGUCACAAGAAGGCUAUGUGCUGUUUUGUCUCUUGCAGUGACGUCAUGUUGCUCAUGUUUUAUGUUUUUCAGAGUUCAUUAGUUUCUGUUUGCUCUCAGUUAAUAUCCAGCUCAAUAGAUUGUCACCAACCAUGUGCCUAGAGCUAACUGUGUUAAGAAGAGCAUGCUUCAAGUGGCUGGAGUGAGCAAUUCAACUUGUGGAGGAAUGAGAAGUGACAGUGUUGAGACAAGCAACAUAAAACCCCAGGGAUGGCUGUGGGGAUCAAGGGAGACAGUGGCCAUAGGGAUACUAUGUUAACUGCAGAUGCGGCUGUAGGAGCACUUUGCUAACUUCCAGCGUGAGUUCAGACCCUUCAGGCUAUUUGGCACCCAGAUCUAUGGUGAGGUGUGACAUAUGGGAUGUAAAGUUUGAUGCCUGCUCCGACUCCAGUCUUGCUAACACACACGAAACCUUUGGUAAAUCAUGACCCUGCCUUGGGGAAAAGGGCAGUCUGGGAGAGCUUCUUCAAGGCAGCCUGGCUUCAAUGCAGUCUGGGGCAUGACUGAGGUAGGCAUACAUGGUGAGGAACUGGAGGGUAACUGGGUAAAGAGCUGCAGUGUGGGCAGAGGUGUAGUGUGGGUCACAUCGCGGAUAGCCACUGGCCAAAGCAGGGAACAGAGACAGAAUGAGGAAGAGCUCUGUGGGGAGGGUGGGGCACAGGGUGGAGAACCUUCAAAGUCCAAAGAGUAUGACUUGUUGGGAUUCAACGCUGUAGGCAGUAGGGAGCCAUGGAAGGCUCUGAGGUGGAGAAAUGACAGCCGGACAUUAGUGAGCAAGCCCUGUCUCCGUGAGCAGCAUGGGUGGUCCUCUGAGCACGCCAGGCACGAGUGUGCAGGGAGCUGGUGCAAAUGCCUCUGUGUGCGGGUGAGCAUCUGUGUUGUGACUCUGCCCACCCAUGUGCUUCAGUGUGCCGUGUGGCUGCACGCCCCAGAUCCAUGUGGCACGUGCCGGCCGGUGAGGGUGCUGGGCAUUGGGAGGUGGCGGGGAGGGCGACGUAUGCGUGUUGUUUGUGGGCAUGUGUGUUAGCGUGUGCAUGUGGGCCGUGGGGCCUCACAGCAUGUGUGUGCACACUCCGGCAUGUGCGUGUGUGUGUCCCCCACCCCCAGGCCUGCCCCACCCAUGCAUGUGACCUGCCAUGUGAUUUGAAGCUGUCUUUCAGAAUCACUAUCAGUGGCCCCUGAGGAGCGUCAGCCAUGGUCUGGUGGCUGUUGGAUGGGGCUCUCCAAGCAAGAGGUGGCCCUGGGCCGUGAGUUGGAAGACAGGGUGACC